rnacentral:rRNA from 1 species
AGAGUUUGAUCCUGGCUCAGGAUGAACGCUGGUGGCGCGCUUAAUGCAUGCAAGUCGAACGAUUUGUUACCCUUCGGGGUAUCAAAGAGUGGCAAACGGCUGAGUAAUGCCUGAGUGACCUACCCUGAAGUGGGGGACAACCCCGAGAAAUUGGGGCUAAUACCGCAUAAUCUCCUUGAGUUUAUCUUGGAGGAAAGCCUUCGGGCGCUUUAGGAGGGGCUUGGGCCCUAUCAGGUUGUUGGUGGGGUAAUGGCCUACCAAGCCUAAGACGGGUAGCUGGUCUGAGAGAUGAUCAGCCAGACGGGGACUGAGACACGGCCCCGACUCCUACGGGAGGCAGCAGCAAGGAAUCUUGCGCAAUGGGCGAAAGCCUGACGCAGCGACGCCACGUGGGGGAUGACGGCUUUCGGGUUGUAAACCCCUUUUCUUGGUGAAGAGGAAGGACGGUAGCCAAGGAAUAAGCCUCGGCUAACUACGUGCCAGCAGCCGCGGUAAUACGUAGGAGGCGAGCGUUAUCCGGAUUUACUGGGCGUAAAGAGCGCGUAGGCGGCCUUUUAAGUUGAUGGUGAAAGCUCCUGGCUCAACCGGGAGAGGUCUGUCAAUACUGGAGGGCUUGAGGACAGCAGAGGAGGGUGGAAUUCCCAGUGUAGCGGUGAAAUGCGUAGAUAUUGGGAGGAACACCAGUGGCGAAGGCGACCCUCUGGGCUGUACCUGACGCUGAGGCGCGAAAGCGUGGGGAGCGAAGAGGAUUAGAUACCCUCGUAGUCCACGCCCUAAACGGUGGACACUAGGUAUAGGAGGUAUCGACCCUUUCUGUGCCGAAGCUAACGCUUUAAGUGUCCCGCCUGGGGACAACGGCCGCAAGGCUACAACUCAAAGGAAUUGACGGGGGCCCGCACAAGCAGCGGAGCGUGUGGUUUAAUUCGAUGCAACGCGAAGAACCUUACCAAGGCUUGACAUGCUAGUGGUAGAACUCUGAAAGGGGAACGACUGAAGCUUCGGCUGAUGAGCUAGCACAGGUGCUACAUGGCUGUCGUCAGCUCGUGCCGUGAGGUGUUGGGUUAAGUCCUAUAACGAGCGCAACCCUUGUCGCUAGUUGUAUUCUCUAGCGAGACUGCCUAGAUAAUCUAGGAGGAAGGCGGGGACGACGUCAAGUCAGCAUGGCCCUUACGCCUUGGGCAACACACACGCUACAAUGGGUGGUACAACGGGUAGCUAAGGAGCGAUCUGGAGCCAAUCCUUAAAACCAUCCCCAGUUCAGAUUGCAGGCUGAAACUCGCCUGCAUGAAGGAGGAGUUGCUAGUAAACGUGGGUCAGCACACCGCGUUGAAUACGUUCUCGGGCCUUGUACACACCGCCCGUCACGUCAUGAAAGCCGGCAACACCUGAAGUCAGUGGGCUAACUCGCUUCGGCGAGAGGCAACUGCCGAGGGUGGGGCUGGUGAUUGGGACGAAGUCGUAACAAGGUA